AACGCACAUUGCGCCCAUUAGUAUUCUAGUGGGCAUGCCUGUUCGAGCGUCAUUAAAACCCUUAAGCCCUGUUGCUUAGCGUUGGGAGCCUGCUGCGCGCAAGCCUGCAGCUCCUCAAAGUUAGUGGCGGAGUCAGUAUACUCUAGGCGUAGUAAUUUUCAACUCGCUUCUGUGGUUAUGCUGGCGCCCUGCCGUAAAACACCCAACUUCCAAAGUUUGACCUCGGAUCAGGUAGGAAUACCCGCUGAACUUAA
rnacentral:misc_RNA from 1 species